rnacentral:rRNA from 1 species
CCUACGGGUGGCUGCAGUCGAGGAUCUUCGGCAAUGGGCGCAAGCCUGACCGAGCGACGCCGCGUGAGCGAUGAAGGCCUUCGGGUUGUAAAGCUCUUUAGUGGGGGAGAAAGGCCGGGUCACACCGGCGUGAUCUAUCCCAAAAAUAAGCACGGGCUAAGUUCGUGCCAGCAGCCGCGGUAAGACGAACCGUGCGAACGUUAUUCGGAAUCACUGGGCUUAAAGGGCGCGUAGGCGGGCUGACAAGUCUGGGGUGAAAUCCCGCGGCUCAACCG